rnacentral:rRNA from 1 species
ACACGGCCUGCCAUUUUCAAUCCCAUACUCUGUGGAGCACGCCUGCUGCAGCAAUGGGCGGUCGACAUGUAUGUCAAGAUUGAGAGUUGUCGGUUGAGGUGGUUCAGGAAGAACCAGACGCAAAUUCGGGCCGACUUGUAUAAAGGAGUUGUUGAUGCGAUCACAUCGGGCGAGACGCGAGCAAGCGCUGUUGGGACAAGAAUAGUGCUCCCUGGAACAUACCCUGGUGGUAACCGCGACAUGAAAAAGAGACAUAUGGAUGCCAUGGCAAUUGUCCAUACAUACGGGAAGCCUGACAUCUUCUUGACCAUGACUUGCAAUCCUAAAUGGGAAGAGAUAUCGAAUGAGUUGUUGCCUGGUUAG